rnacentral:rRNA from 1 species
ACGGGUGAGUAAUACAUCGGAACGUGCCCAGUAGUGGGGGAUAGCUCGGCGAAAGCCGGAUUAAUACCGCAUACGACCUACGGGUGAAAGCGGGGGACCGCAAGGCCUCGCGCUAUCGGAGCGGCCGAUGUCAGAUUAGCUAGUUGGUGGGGUAAAGGCCUACCAAGACAACGAUCUGUAGCUGGUCUGAGAGGACGACCAGCCACACUGGGACUGAGACACGGCCCAGACUCCUACGGGAGGCAGCAGUGGGGAAUUUUGGACGAUGGGGGCAACCCUGAUCCAGCCAUGCCGCGUGCGGGAAGAAGGCCUUCGGGUUGUAAACCGCUUUUGUCAGGGAAGAAACGCGCUGAGUUAAUACCUCGGCGUAAUGACGGUACCUGAAGAAUAAGCACCGGCUAACUACGUGCCAGCAGCCGCGGUAAUACGUAGGGUGCAAGCGUUAAUCGGAAUUACUGGGCGUAAAGCGUGCGCAGGCGGCUUUGCAAGACAGAUGUGAAAUCCCCGGGCUUAACCUGGGAACCGCAUUUGUGACUGCAUGGCUAGAGUGCGGCAGAGGGGGAUGGAAUUCCGCGUGUAGCAGUG